rnacentral:lncRNA from 1 species
AUGACAAACAAUGGAAAAGAGGAGUGGCACCUGGUGUAUAUAUAUUUCCUUGGCCUUUUAGAAAACAUGGAGUUGUUCCUUUGGCCAUGUACAUGCGAAUAUACAAGAAGGGUGAUAUUAUAGACAUCAGGGGAAUGGUAAUGGGUACUGCUCAAAAAGGAAUGCCCCACAAAUGUUACCAUGGCAAAACUGUGUCUGCAGCAUUACCCAGCAUGUCACGGGCAUUGUUGUAAACAAGCAAGUUAAGGGCAAGGUUCCUGCCAAGAGAAGUAAUGUGCAUAUUGAGCAUGUUAGGCACUCUAGGAGCCAAGAUAGCUUCCUGAAACCCAUGAAGGAAAAUGAUCAGAAAAGGAAGCCAAAGAGAAAGGUAGCUGGGUUUAAUGGAAAGACCAGCCUGCUCCACCCAGAGAAGCACACCUUGUGGGAAGCAAUGGAAAGGAGCCAGAGAUGCUGAAACCUAUUCCCUAUGAAUUCAUAGCAUAA